rnacentral:tRNA from 3 species
GCGGACGUAGCUCAGUUGGUAGAGCACCUGCCUUCCAAGCAGGAUGUCGCGAGUUCGAACCUCGUCGUCCGCUCCA